UGUAACUUUUAUAAUGCAGUAAUUUUACAAGUAGGUCUGUUCGACCUUUAAUACAUUACAUGAUUUGAGUUCAAAUCGGUGUAAACCAGAUUGGUUUCUAUCUUUUUUAUACUUUUAUUUAGUACGAAAGGACCAAUAAAUUUAUUUUCAAU
rnacentral:rRNA from 1 species